CCCUGUGUUCGAAAGUGAUCGUGGGCUGCCCGUGCCCUGGUCAUUGAUAGUGCAGGGAGAGCAGCUGUGGAAAGCGCUUCCCCGUGUUUGGAGGGUCCAGCGCCGUCCCUUGCAAACCCUGCAGCUUUCCCACA
rnacentral:snoRNA from 13 species